rnacentral:rRNA from 1 species
GAAAGCGGCGGACGGGUGAGUAACGCGUAGGUAACCUGCCCUGUACAGAGGGAUAGCCACUGGAAACGGUGAUUAAUACCUCAUAAUACCGGAAGUUCACAUGGACAAUCGGUCAAAGAUUUAUCGGUACAGGAUGGACCUGCGUCUGAUUAGUUAGUUGGUGAGGUAACGGCUCACCAAGGCGACGAUCAGUAGCCGACCUGAGAGGGUGAUCGGCCACAUUGGAACUGAGACACGGUCCAAACUCC